UAAUAAGUGUUUUAUGGCACUUUUUAAAUCCAUAUCCACCUUGUGUGCAAUGUCAGGUCGAUCUUCUUCUUGAGGAUCGACCAAACAUCAACCUUUAUUUUUUAACUCUUUGUCUGAAAAAUAUUAUGAAUAAACAAUUCAAAAUACAACUUUCAACAACGGAUCUCUUAGGCUCUCGCAUCGAUGAAGAACGCAGCGAAAUGCGAUACGUAAUGUGAAUUGCAGAAUUCAGUGAAUCAUCGAAUCUUUGAACGCAUAUUGCGCUCUUUGGUAUUCCGAAGAGCAUGCUUGUUUGAGUAUCAGUAAACACCUCAAAGCUUUUGGAUUUUUUUAUCGAAAGCUUUGGACUUGAGCAAUCCCAACACCAAUCUUUUUGAGAUCGGUGGCGGGUUGCUUGAAAUGCAGGUGCAGCUGGACAUUCUCCUGAGCUAAAAGCAUAUUCAUUUAGUCCCGUCAAACGGAUUAUUACUUUUGCUGCAGCUAACAUAAAGGGAGUUUGACCGUAUUGGCUGACUGAUGCAGGAUUUCACAAGGGUCGGCAACGAUUCUUGUUAAACUCGAUCUCAAAUCAAGUAAGACUACCCGCUGAACUUAAGCAUAUCAAUAAGCGGAGGAAUCGGCAUCUUGGUCAUUUAGAGGAAGUAAAAGUCGUAACAAGGUUUCCGUAGGUGAACCUGCGGAAGGAUCAUUCAUAAUCAAGUGUUUUUAUGGCACUUUCAAAAAUCCAUAUCCACCUUGUGUGCAAUGUCAUCUCUCUGGGGGCUGCCGGCUGUCAAAAGCCGUGUGGUCACCUUUGGGAUUUAUAUCUACUCAGAACCUUAGUGAUUUUGUCUGAAAAAUAUUAUGAAUAAACAAUUCAAAAUA
rnacentral:misc_RNA from 1 species